AGCCUCUGUUGUCUCAAAGGGAUGCAGCACUGGGUAGGUUUUUAGAGCUAAUUUUAGUCAAAGUGGAAACUGGAAAUAAAGCAGGCAACUCUUCUGACAUUUGGUACUUUGGUCAUAGUAUUGAAAACAGUAUAUUAUCUCCCUCAUUGUCAAAGGAAACAAAUUACAUACUCUGGAUUAAACACAAUUUGUGGAGGUGGUGCAAAGACUUGACAAAACUGCCGGGUAAGAACAGGUGAACAAAAUCAAGGAGUUAUUGCAGCUCACGCAAUCAAGGAACUGCCCUCAGCUGCGGUGGAGCCCCAGAGCGCCGAGGCGGCAUCACCUGCGGCUGGUUCCGCUCCCGGCCAGGCGGCGUUCCCAGUCCAGCAGCCAGGCAGGGCCGUUCUCCUGCUGCCUUUGUUGGGUGUUCCUGUGCCCGGCUCCCUCGUGGCUGUGGGACAUUCUCGGGCCCGGCUCCCCCGUGGCUGGAGGACAUUCCUGGACCCGGAUCCCUCAUGGCUGAGGGCGGCAGGCACUUCUUUGGGAGGGCAGGAGCCAGGAUCCUGAAGGAUCCCCAGCUCCCAGACUGCAGUGUGCUGCUGACAGGAGCUGCAGCAUCUCAUACCCCAGGAUCAGGAAUUGUGCAUGCAGAGACUCUACAGAUGUCUGCAAACCAGUACCUGGCCUUAGAUGUUAAACAAACAACAAAAUGUCUUCUGAUCAAAUAUGCUGCUGAGGUAUCU
ensembl:lncRNA